rnacentral:sRNA from 1 species
AAUAAACUUACAGUGAAAGCGAUUACAAAUAUUAAGGAGUGGAUGUAAUGGGUACAAUCGUAUGUCAAGACUGUCAAAAAGUGAUUGAGCAUUAUGAAAAUGAAAAGGUUUCUACUCUUUAUAGUACAUGUCCGACUUGUAAUACACCAGAACAAAAAUAACCACAUAAUGGUAAAAAGCCAUCCCGGCGUAAUGAGAAACGUCGGGAUGGCUUUUU